rnacentral:rRNA from 1 species
GACGAACGCUGGCGGCGUGCCUAAUACAUGCAAGUUGAGCGCUGAAGGUUGGUACUUGUACCAACUGGAUGAGCAGCGAACGGGUGAGUAACGCGUGGGGAAUCUGCCUUUGAGCGGGGGACAACAUUUGGAAACGAAUGCUAAUACCGCAUAAAAACUUUAAACACAAGUUUUAAGUUUGAAAGAUGCAAUUGCAUCACUCAAAGAUGAUCCCGCGUUGUAUUAGCUAGUUGGUGAGGUAAAGGCUCACCAAGGCGAUGAUACAUAGCCGACCGGAGAGGGUGAGAGGCCGCAUUGGGACGGAGACACGGCCCAAACUCCUACGGGAGGCGGCAGUACGGAAUCUUCGGCAAUGGACGAAAGUCUGACCGAGCAACGCCGCGUGAGUGAAGAAGGUUUUCGGAUCGUAAAACUCUGUUGGUAGAGAAGAACGUUGGGGAGAGUGGAAAGCUCAUCAAGUGACGGUAACUACCCAGAAAGGGACGGCUAACUACGUG